rnacentral:rRNA from 1 species
UACGUAGGGGGCAAGCGUUGUCCGGAAUCAUUGGGCGUAAAGAGCGUGUAGGCGGCUCGAUAAGUCCGCUGUGAAAGCCCCAGGGCUCAACCCUGGGAUGCCGGUGGAUACUGGUCGGGCUAGAAUCCGGAAGAGGCGAGUGGAAUUCCUGGUGUAGCGGUGAAAUGCGUAGAUAUCAGGAGGAACACCGGUGGUGUAGACGGCUUUCUGGACCGUAACUGACGCUGAGACACGAAAGCGUGGGUAGCAAACAGG